UCCCUGGUGGUCCAGUGGUUAAGACUCUGCACUCCCAAUGCUAGGGGCCCGGGUUCGAUCCCUGGUCAGGAAA
rnacentral:tRNA from 1 species